CCGCCCGUCAAACCACGAAAGUUGGUAAUGCCCAACGCCGGUGGCCUAACUCGCAAGAGAGGGAGCCGUCUAAGGCAGGAUCGAUGAUUGGGGUUAAGUCGUAACAAGGUAUCCCUACGGGAACGUGGGGAUGGAUCACCUCCUUUCUAAGGAAAACAAGGCUUAAGAAGCCGAGAUCGCAUCUCAUAAAGAGAUGAUACAAACCAAUUCGUAAUGAAAUCAUCAUAUUCAGUUUUGAAAGACUUAACAGUUUUUCAGUAAAAAAAAGAAGUUUUAGAUUAGAUCUUUGAAAAGUAGAUAAAUUCUGUCGUAAGGUUAAGGAAGUAAGGGCACACAGUGGAUGCCUUGGCACUAAGCGCCGAUGAAGGACGCAACUAACAGCGAAAUGCUACGGGGAGCGGUAAGUACGCGACGAUCCGUAGGAAUCCGAAUGGGGGAACCCGGCAUGUAGAAGACAUGUCACUCUAGCAAUAGAGGGGGAUACGCAGGGAACUGAAAUAUCUAAGUACCUGCAGGAAAAGAAAGUAACAACGAUUCUUCUAGUAGCGACGAGCGAACGAGGAGGAGCCUGAUUAUUCUAACAGUUACAAAAUCAAUUAAUAGACGAGCAAGUUGGGAAGCUUGACCAUAGAAGGUGAAAGUCCUGUAGUCGAAAUUAAUGGAUCUGGGAAUAACGAAAAGUAGGGCGGGACACGAGAAAUCCCGUUUGAAGAACGGAGGACCAUCUCCGAAGGCUAAAUACGACUUAGUGACCGAUAGUGAACCA
rnacentral:sRNA from 2 species